CCUACGGGAGGCAGCAGUGGGGAAUAUUGCGCAAUGGGCGAAAGCCUGACGCAGCGACGCCGCGUGAGGGAUGAAUGUCUUCGGAUCGUAAACCUCUGUCAGCAGGGAAGAACGGUCACUGUGCUAAUCAGCAGUGAAUUGACGGUACCUGCAAAGGAAGCACCGGCUAACUCCGUGCCAGCAGCCGCGGUAAUACGGAGGGGGCGAGCGUUAAUCGGAAUUACUGGGAGUAAAGCGCGCGUAGGCGGUAUGUCAAGUCAAGGGGGAAAUCCCCCCGCUCAACGGUGGAACUGCCUUUGAAACUGGCAAACUGGAGUGUGUGAGAGGAUAGUGGAAUUCGAGGUGUAGGAGUGAAAUCCGUAGAUAUCUGGAGGAACAUCAGUGGCGAAGGCGACUAUCUGGCACAUAACUGACGCUGAGGAGCGAAAGCGUGGGUAGCAAACAGGAUUAGAUACCCUUGUAGUC
rnacentral:rRNA from 1 species